rnacentral:rRNA from 1 species
GACGAACGCUGGCGGCGUGGAUUAGGCAUGCAAGUCGAACGGUAUCAUCCUUUCGGGGGUGAGAGAGUGGCGAACUGGUGAGUAACACGUAGGUUAUCUACCCUCAAGACGGGGACAACCCAGGGAAACUUGGGCUAAUACCGGAUGUGAGCAACUUUUAGUUGUUUGAAAGGUGGCGUAAGCUGUCGCUUGGGGAUGAGCCUGCGUCCUAUUAGUCAGUUGGUGAGGUAACGGCUCACCUAGGCAAUGAUAGGUAGGCGGCCUUAACGGGUGGUCGCCCACACUGGGAUUGAGAUACGGCCCAGACUCCUACGGGAGGCAGCAGUCGAGAAUAGUCUACAAUGGUCGGAAGACUGAUAGUGCGACGCCGCGUGAACGAUGAAUCCCUUCGGGGUGUAAAGUUCUUUUAUAUGUGAGCAGUGCUUCUUAUAUUAACAGUAUGGGGAGAGAGAUAUUAGCAUAUGAAUAAGCAACGGCUAACUCCGUGCCAGCAGCCGCGGUAA